rnacentral:tRNA from 1 species
UAGUUGGUAUCUCAGUGGUAGAGUGCCUGCUUUGUAUGUAUGAUGUCCUGGGUUCAAUCCCCAGCUUCUUCC